GCAGCGCAACGAGAGAGCAUCUGCUUGGCAUGCAGAAGGACCUGGGUUCAAUCCCCAGCAGCGUCA